GGUUGCCCUGGAAACGUUGGCUCGCGGCUGGGGGACAAUGGGACCCGCGUCCUUGUGCGUGUCCCGCCGCCUGGAAGCCGAGGACGUCAUCGACGAGCUUGACGAUUCCUAUUGGCUGCUUCGGGCAAGUUCCACCUUCUAUUGUGAACGUCACAACGCGGAAGUUGUUCAGUGAGCUGCAGACUGAAAUUUCCUCCUCUGUGCAAGCUCUGGGAGCAAUGUCUCUGCUCCUUUUCAUUUCUUCAUCCUGGGAGGGAGAGGGAGAACACUGAUCACUUGCCGCAAUUGAAGUGAGUCCAGAUUGAGAAUAUUGGAGACGUUGCAGACAACCUCCAGCUUAAUAUCACGCCAAGAUCCAAGAGAGAGAAACAGACAGUCACUCGAUUCACUGGAACUUGAAUGUCACUGGCCUUUGAAUCGAGAAGGGCAAACAGUUGCCUGUCCUGGAUAUGUUAAACAUAAGUGUGCCUGGAAAAGCACUGAGAGACGGACAUAUCCAAUUGAGGGUGCUCCCAGCUCAUGGACUGUGGGAAAAGCUUUUAACUACGUGGCCUGAAAAACUGUAUACUGUGAGCCACUGGUGUGGAAAAUCUGUGACAGAACAAGAGUUCUCAACUCAUCGUUGAAACUGACGCAACAGCCGCACCAUGGAGAAACCGUGGAAGUGCGGGCACUUUGGGAAGGGCUUCAAAUCGCCCUCUAAGCUGGAGAUCCAAGGACUCAGUCACACGGGGGAAGAGGCCGUUUGCAUGCCAGUGCGGGAAGGAAUUCAGCUAGUUGUCCAACCUUCGCAAGCACCGGAGAGUGGCUGCACGCUUGCCCGGACUGCGGGAAAGGAUUCAGCGAUUUCUGCAACUUGCUGACCCACUGGCGGGUGCAGACAGGCGAGAGACCAUUCCCUUGCCCCGUGUGUGGGAAGGAGUUCGGCGAUGCUUCCAACCUGUUCGGUCACCAGCGAGUUCACAAGUGAUGACCGGGGCGGGGGUUGGAGUUUGGAUUUUGCUGUCAAUCACGUCCAGGACUGAACCACCUUCUGACAGGUAGAGGGCUUCUUUCUUUCUGCUGGACUGCCCACUCCUUCCCCCACCGCCUUCACUUCCAGUGGGGUUGGUGGGGCUGGUGCUUCUUUGAGCAACUCCCACACCCCCCCAAACAAAAGCACAGCCACACCGAAAAGGGGAGCAAAGUCAAUUACCCAUCCAACUUGUGGUGGUAGAGUCACACCGGGGCAUUGGGUUGGGGUUGGGGGUGGUGGGGGAGAGGCCGUUCACCUGCUCUGCACCUGAGAAGACAUUCCUGCUGGCCCACCAGCGAGUUCACACCAGAGAGGGGCCCUGAGCUUUGCCGGAGUUAGUCAUCCCACACAGCGAUACGUCAGUGAGUUCACUCUGAUGUCAAAGAGUAAUACAGCAUGGAAACAGGCCCUUUGGCCCAAACUGCCCACUCAGCUAGUUCCAAUUGCCCGCAUUUGGUCCAUAUCCCUCUCAACCCUUCCCAUCCAUUAAACAAUCCAAAUGGUUUUUAAAUGUUGCUGUUGUAUCUGCCUCAACCACUUUCUCUGGCAGCCCAUUCUAUAUACGCAUCACUCUCUGCAUGAAGAAGUUGCCUCUCAGGUCCUUCUUAAAUUUUUCCUCUUUCACCUUAAACCUAUGCCCUCCAGUUUUCAAUUCCUCAUCCCUGGGAAAAAGACUACAUGCAUUCAUCCUAUCUGUGCCCCUCAUGAUAUUAUGCAUCUCAAUAUGAACACCCCUCAUUCUCCUAUGUUUCAAGGAUAAAAGUCCCAUCCUGGCCAACCUCUCCCUAUAAGACCCUUUAAAUUGGGAAGGCUCAUGUGCCACCUACAGAAAUGAGAAGAAUCGACUUACCUCCUCCCAGAAGGUUGCGAAUCCGUGCAGCUGACUGCCCCAGAGCACAACGGAGGCAGAAUCAAUCAACAGAUCCAAGACAGAAAUAGAUCUGUUUCUCAGGGGGAGCAGACACGAAAGUGGAACUGAGACCAGGAUAAGAUCAGCUACGAUCAUGUUAAAUGAAAUCUGAAACACAACCAGCAAUGGCUGGAGAAACUCAGCAGCAGCCACAGGGAGAGAAAGCAGAGUUAAUGUUUCAGAUCCGGUGACCCUUCCUCGGAACUGAUGUACCAUCAACGUGGUCACACGGAGAGACGGUUCAGGUGAUUAUCUACCCUCACGGGGUGGGGGCGGUGGUGAGGAGAGGAAGAGAUCUUUUAAAUAUCCAGAAUAUAAGAAAUGCUUGGGAAGUCGGACUGGACUGAUGUCCCAUCUACCUGUUCACGCUGAUCAAAGACCACUCAGGAAUGGGUUCAGGCCAUCAUCGAGCCUCACUGCACAGCAGUGAAUUUGCACUGGAGGGGGCGGGGUGCACGUGUGCUUGUGUGUGCUGUGUUUGUGUGUUGUGUGUAUGUGUAUAUAUUCAGCUGCUCUGGAGUGUGGGAAGGGAUUCACCAGCUCAUCCCACCUGCCAGGAACUGGGAAUUCCAUUGUUAUUAAAAUCCAGAUCACAACUGCAUUCACUGGAGUCUGGUUCUGCUGAUCAACUUCCCACGUGCUCACAGGGUGGGAGAGUAAACCUGCCAGACCUUGAAGAUAGGAAGAGGACUGUCGCUUGUGUGGUCUUCAGGGGGCCACCCAGACUUGUUUUCUCACCUACAUUGAGUCCUGGGGAUUCAGCAUGGAGCCUUUGAUUCAGAAUAAUCUUACAAUCAGGGACUUUGCCCCAUCCAACUUUUCACCAUCACACUGGAGUGCUGUGGAAUCUGAGAUAGAACUCCUAGUACCAAUGUCGCCAUAGUCCCUAACUGAUAGAAGGCAGUACAAGACUGUCGUUUGUGUGUGCAUGCGCGUUUUACACAGUUUAAGAUUUACUUAUUAGUUUGCAUCUGACUAAUAUAGGUCAAUUAAGCAAAUAAAUUUACUUCCUAUUAAAA